UACGGAGGGUGCAAGCGUUAUCCGGAUUCACUGGGUUUAAAGGGUGCGUAGGUGGGUCUGUAAGUCAGUGGUGAAAUCUCCGAGCUUAACUCGGAAACUGCCAUUGAUACGAUAGGUCUUGAAUUAUCUGGAGGUGAGCGGAAUAUGUCAUGUAGCGGUGAAAUGCUUAGAUAUGACAUAGAACACCAAUUGCGAAGGCAGCUCACUACGGAUAUAUUGACACUGAGGCACGAAAGCGUGGGGAUCAAACAGG
rnacentral:rRNA from 1 species